UUAGCCCUAAACCCAGAUAAUUUUUUAAACAAAAUUAUUCGCCAGAGUACUACUAGCAAUAGCCUGAAACUCAAAGGACUUGGCGGUGCUUCAUAUCCCUCUAGAGGAGCCUGUCCUAUAAACGAUAAACCCCGAUAGACCUUACCAACCCUAGCUAAUACAGCCUAUAUACCGCCAUCCUCAGCAAACCCUGAUAAAGGAAAUAUAGUAAGCAAGAUUGUUAAAAUACAAAAACGUUAGGUCAAGGUGUAGCUUAUGAGUUGGAAAGAGAUGGGCUACAUUUUCUCAAAACAGAAAAAAAAACGAACAUUCUUAUGAUAUUAAGAGUUAAAGGAGGAUUUAGUAGUAA
rnacentral:rRNA from 1 species